rnacentral:rRNA from 1 species
CACGUAGGCACCAAGCGUUGUCCGGAUUUAUUGGGCGUAAAGAGCUCGUAGGCGGUUCAGUAAGUCGGGUGUGAAAACUCUGGGCUCAACCCAGAGACGCCACCCGAUACUGCUGUGACUUGAGUACGGUAGGGGAGUGGGGAAUUCCUGGUGUAGCGGUGAAAUGCGCAGAUAUCAGGAGGAACACCAGUGGCGAAGGCGCCACUCUAGGCCGUAACUGACGCUGAGGAGCGAAAGCGUGGGUAGCAAACAGG